rnacentral:rRNA from 1 species
GGACCCGCACAAGCGGUGGAGCAUGUGGUUUAAUUCGAUGCAACGCGAAGAACCUUACCUGGUCUUGACAUCCUGCGAACUUUCUAGAGAUAGAUUGGUGCCUUCGGGAACGCAGUGACAGGUGCUGCACGGCUGUCGUCAGCUCGUGUUGUGAAAUGUUGGUUAAGUCCCGCAACGAGCGCAACCCCUAUUGAUAGUUACCAUCAUUAAGUUGGGUACUCUAUUGAGACUGCCGCUGACAAGGCGGAGGAAGGUGGGGACGACGUCAAGUCAUCAUGGCCCUUACGGACCAGGGCUACACACGUGCUACAAUGGGUAUUACAGAGAGCUGCGAAGGUGCGAGCUGGAG